CUGCCAUGCGGAUGGAAAUUCCCCGGCACAGCUAGAAUAGGGACUCAAUUCGGGUUAUCAUGGAUCCAUUCGGGUGAUUAGCUAGCUAGAGAAAGGCCGAGAGCUUCCAGGAAGCUAGUGGAGGAUUCCAAAGGGAUCGCAUUGAUCGAUCUCCCUCCGUCAUCGGCGUGCAAGAUCGAUGGAUCAGUGCGAUCCCUCUGGAAUUCUCCGCUUGCCUCCGCCUCCCCCUCUACCUCUUCGGUUUCCACGAGGUAAUCAAACAGAGAUAGACCAUCUACAAGAAUCACAAGGUAACAUCGUCUAGCAGCUUGCUCUUUUUACCAGCUGCUCACGGUUGAGGCACAUGUUUGCCGCUUAAUUUUUCCUCUUGGUUUGUGGGACGGAAAGGGUUAGGCUCAGUCCUUUUAUUUGGGGUUAUUGAUCGGUGUGUGAUGGUUUUACAUUAGUUUUGGGGGAAACUGUGGACAUGAGUGUUGAUGAAUUGGUGUUGUUAGAAACGGGAGUUAUUUUUUCUUUUUCUUUUUGCGGGGUAGAAACGGGAGUUACUUAAUUGGUGGUAUGAUGAGGAUGAUUGCAUCAGCCUUUUUUUUUGGCAACGAACAUCAGCCAGCUUUUUUUUAAUAGUUUGUUCAUCUCAGUUCUGCAAUUUGUUUUAGAAAAAAAAUUCUACAACGAGUAAGUCUAGGGGAAAUUUGUUCUAAACAUGUAGCUAUCCCAAGACCCAUGUGUGUGAAUGCAUACCACCAAAGCUAGCUAGUAAUAGCAAAAAAGAGACGGGGACAUGAGGAAGGCUCACUUGUUUGUGACCGAGAAACUGAUAGGAUAUUACUGGUGUUAAUUCCAGGCUUGCUUUUUUUAGGCAUCAAGUGCAUGUUUUUAAUACCGUCAAAUAUAUGGACAUGUAUAACAUGCAAGUGCAAGGAUAACGGCGCAUCUCGAUUUUGCAUAAACUUUACUCAAAAUGAUAACGAUUGCUUUAUGGCAUAUUCUCUUUCAUUUUGUACCUAGAUUUAUUUAUUAGGAGAUGAUCCGGGCCACUAGUUAGUAGUUUAAUUAUUAUACAUGUAUUUCUAGAGUGGGAAUUCUAGACAUAUGGUCAUAAGUGGUUCGCUCCAAAAAUUAUGACAGCUCAAAUGUUCCAUUCAUUUAUAUAAGGCACUACUUCGCAGGGCUAAUCUCUGAGUGAAUACGAAUAUGUUAUCAUCGAUGGGUAAAGAAAGGCUGUAAUGUGCUGAUUCUCGACGUGCGUGGCAAUUGUGUCCAACUGUUGGGAUGAGAAGGGUUAAAUAUUUUCUUGGCUGUAAAUAAGGCGGACCAAAGGUCAGCCUAAACUUUGUAUGAACAACACUUCAUUAAUUUUAGGUAGGGCUAAUUUAGCCCUCAAUUUGGCGGGGACAUGUGGUAUUUUUUUGCAUUAAUUAGUUUAGAGAAACCUUGGCAUGAGUUUUGAGUUGGGGUGGUAAUUGUUAGAAACAGAUUAAUGAAUUUUUGGUAAAGAUAAUUGCAUAAGCUUCUAUUAUAUUUAUUUUUCUGUAUUGGUUCAUCACGGCUUCACCAACUAAUUCUAGACAAACAGAUUCAAAACAUGUAACCUAAGUAAGCUUCCUUAGAGUGUAUCAAAGGCAAUAGGCUAUUAUCGCAAAAAAGAUACUAUGAUAUUAGCAUGAGUAUUAAUUUUAGGCCCUCUUUUAACACGAAAUGCUUGUUUGGAAUAAUGAAAAAUACCCAAAUAGGAUAAUAAAUUAAAGGAUAAUGUAUCCUGAUAUAAGAAAUUAAUGGAUAACUAAGCAUCUCGAUUUUGCAUAAAAUUUAUCCAAAAGGAUAAUGAUUGCUUUGUUGCACAUUCUUAUUAUUUCCCCGUCUCAUUUUACAAGUCCGGCACAUGUACCUAAGUCGUUAAUUUGACCAACUUAAUGAGAGGCAUAUAUAACAAAAUAUAUAUAAUUACAAACUUUAGAUAUUUUAUUUUUUAAUGAUAUAAUUUUUAUGUUAAAUAAUAUAUUUUAUAUAAGUUAAAUUGACAAUCUAGAUACACGUGCAUGUCUUCUAAACUGUGAUGGAGGGAGUAUGUUUCCUUCCUAAAUUUAUUAGGAGACAAUCAAGUUGCUAGUAGUUUAAUUAAUGACUACACAUGCAUUUUCUGGUUGAAAAAUCUUGAUAUGGCAUCGGUUGAUCCUGAAAUUAUGAUGGCACACAGGCAUCGGUCCCUUUGUACUACGAGAGAUGCUUCAGAAAUUCUGAUCACACACAUUUCAGAUGCUGUCAAGUGUCAACAUCGAGGAAUGAAGUUGAAUUCGGCUACCGCGUGCCUAUAAAUGCUCGUUGCACAUGACAACUGAUUGCCAUGUUUUCUUGCAAGAACUGUAUGUACAUAGUGGCUAUUUAAAAGGAGCAUCUUGUAACUGCUUGCACAUAUGCCUGCAAAUUUGUCCAUGCUUGCAUCUUUCUCUUUCACAAUAUACGAAUCGUUUUCCUGUG